GCCCGGGUGGCUCAGUCGGUUGAGCGUCCGACUUCAGCUCAGGUCACGGUCUCACGGUUUGUGGGUUCGAGCCCCGCGUCGGGCU
rfam:Felis catus isolate Cinnamon breed Abyssinian chromosome F1, whole genome shotgun sequence.